CAGAUGUGGCCAAACUGCUCUCUAGGCUGAGCUACCGAUUUGCAUCCCACCAGUCGGUUACCAGGCUUCAUCCUGAGGCAAAGGAGCUGAUCCUCAAUUCACUCCUAACCUGGACACCCUCUUGUUCCCUUGCUCAGGAACUGCGUCCUCUGACGGUGUCUUGCGUUCACAGGUAAGUGCUUUCCUGGGGAUUCUUGCAACCCUGGGUAAAAUGGUUCAGCCGGGGUGUUUCUGGAGGGGCCCCCUGUUUCUGUUGCAGGAGCCCAAGGGCCACACACUAGUCGGCAGAGGAGCCUGGCUGCCCAUUGGGUGGCCCUGGCUUUGGAGAGUCUUCUCAGGACCUGGUGGGGUCCCCGCGGCUCCCUCCGAUGUGUGUUCUGAUCCCCUCCCCGUCCCCGGGAAUGAGACCCUGCGGAGUCUCAGCCCUGCCUUCACUUUGACCGGCGGUUUUGGCCUCCAGCGGGUUCCAGGCAAGAUCAUUCCAUCAAUUCCCUGGCAGUCGGCUCAGCAGAUUUAUAGGCAUCAAACCCCCCCCAAAAAAAAUUUGCUUAAUAACAUGCUUGCGGAGUGUUUUUGUGCCCGUGUGCUCCAACAAUGCAAAGUGUUCCAGCAAAGAGGAGGCAAAUUUCUUUGAAAUUAGGCUAUUCAAAGUGACUACUCGACUCAGGGCUUUUGAUAUUGCUUUAAGGAAUCUGUUUUGCCCAUAAAAUCAUGUCUGUGCUGUGCUCGCCAUUCAGCUGACAUUUAUUCCAAUUUUCGAAUAGCAACUUCUUCCACUUUACCUUCUGUAAUUCAAAAGAGGAAUCCUUAAGUCUUUGGAAAAUUGUUUUUUGUAAUAUUCUAAAGUGAAAAUACUUGCAAAUGUGUACUUUUUAGAACAAGCGUAAAUUUUAAAAUCGGGACUAAAGUAACCUUUUAUGUGCGAACUUGCCUGCGCUGUAAAUCACGGACUGUUUUUUUCCCCUCUAUUAUUUUAGCAGGUCUCAAGGGCCCUGUGUUUGCAUGAGAUUGGAAUCGCUGGUGGGGGGCUGAGAGGGGCUCAAAUAAAAGCCGUUCCCUGUGCUGUGUGUCCUGUGAGCACUUGUCUCUGUGGCGGCUGCUGCCCCAGACCUUGCCAGUCUGUGGGAAAAUAAUCUGGUAAUACCCGUGAUGGUUCUUGUCCCCACUCCUAUUUGGGGUCUCAGGUCCCUGCUACGUUCUCUCGAUCCUUCCCCCCAGUGUCUCUCCUGGGCUCAUGCCCAAGUGGCCUCCACCUGGCACCUCUGAGCACCCUGAUCUCAGCACCUGCCUCGGCCGGAUGUGGUGCUCUCUCCCCUGGGCCAGCCCCUGGCUUCAGCCUGAGUAUUCCAGGUGACAGGCCACGACCUCGAGCCCUCCAAGGGCAGCUCUUCACGGUCUCCCGCGGGGCCCUCAUCAUCCUCUGGACCUCCAGCCAGCGGCCUCCUUACCGUUGCCAGAAUCUCACCAUCUCAACUCCAGUCACUGUGCUUGGAAGACAAAGUUUCCUUGCAGCCAGAGACGCGCAGCCCCUCAUCCAGUGUCUCCCUGGGUGUGGGGCAUCUUGAGCCCUUCCCUGGAGCAUCCCCUGAUGCUGCCUGCUGUGGGGUGCAGCUGAGCACAGGACGGGGGGGUGGGACCAUCAGAGGUCAGGAGGGGUGAGAACUCUGUGUCUUCAGACUCCUACGGCCUUGGUUCUCCAACCGGGGAAGGAGUGGGUGUCACGAGUUGACCCAAGGCACACCUCCAGCUCUUUAAGGUAUUAGAGAUAGGAUUAAACCUUGCUCAUCAUUUAUCAGCAUUUAAAAAUUGGAUGCACCUCUGAGGCACCGCUCUUUUUGGUGACCUCAUUUGGAAUUCUCAUCCAUUCUCAGCCCUUCUUCUUUGCUCAUAGCAGCGUUUGUGGCUAUGAAUUUUCCUACAAGUGUUUCUUUGGCUGCAUCCCACACAUUUUGAUAGGUAGUAUUUCACCACUAUUCAGUUCUAUGUACUUUAAAUUUUUUUAUAUAUAUUUGUUUUUAGUUGUUCAUUUUAUUUCUUGUAGGUGGUGAGAAGAAUCGAAUCCAGUGCCUCACACAUGCUAGGCAAGUGCUCUACCACUGAGCCAUAACUCCAGCCUCUGUAUGUACUUUUAAAGUUUUCAGCUGAUUCAUGGAUGAUUUAGGUAAUGCAUUCAAAAAGUUUCAAACUCAAAAAGCAUAAACUGUCUACAAGGAAAACUAUUCCUUCUGCCUCUGCCUAGUAGCCAGCCUCCCACAGACAACUAAUAUCAUUCAUUAUAGUUUUCAUAUAUAGUUUAUGUGUACAUAUAUUGAGAGAGAGAGAGAGAGAGAGAGAGAGAGAGAGAGAGAGAGAGAAUAUCUUAAAUGUCUCCAAAGACUUAUGCGUUAAGGGCUUAAUUCCCCCAGGUUGGCGUUAUUGGGAGGUAAUGAAAAACUCCUUCUUCUUCUUUUUUUUUUUUUUUUAAAGAGAGAGCAGGAGAGAUAGAGAGAGAGAUAAUUUUAAUAUUUUAGUUUUCUGUGGACACAACAUCUUUGUUUGUAUGUGGUACUGAGGAUUGAACCCGGGCUGCAUGCAUGCCAGGAGAGUGCACUACUGCUUGAGCCACAUCCCCAGCCCGGUAAUGAAAAACUUUAAGAGGUGAGACUUAGUGAGAGUUCUUCUGGUCAGUGGGGAGAUGCCUUUGGAGGGGCUGAGGGGCACCGGGUUCUCCUUUUCCUCUCUUUUUCACAUCCCAGGCAUGAGGAGAACAGUGUGCUCUGACUCAUGCUCCCACCUCUGACGUACUGCCUUGCCACAGGCUCAAAGCCACAGAGUCAAGUGUUCAUGGAUUGAAGUCUCCAAAUAUGUGUGCCAAUGUAGAAACCUUUCCUUCUUAUAAGUUGAUUAUCUUGGGUAUUUUGUUAUAGUAACAGACACCUAACUAACACAGGUGUAUAAACAUAUUGUGUGUGUAUGCAAAGUAGGCAGAUGUACCCCUCCUCCUUCCUAGGAAAAUCCUGUUCCUUUGGUUGUGAAAUGUGUUUUAGUUUGUUCUCAGUAGAGAUCCUUCCACACCAUUACAUAAAGAGCUUCCUCGUUUGUUUUAAAAGCGGCAGCCCAAGGCCUUCCCCUGGGGCUGUGCCAGCCGGAACCCCCAGCAGCAUGUUGGGAUGGCCCCCGUUCUGCACAAAGCGUGUCUUAUCAAAUUUUGGUUCUUUGUUGAUCUAAUAGUGAAUAAUGAUCCAUUUUAGUUUUCACUGAUAUUUAUCUCAUUGCGAGUGAAGUUCAACCUCUUUUCACGUUUUGAAGUAAUUUUAUACAGAUGUGGCUUCUGAUCGCUGUUCUCCAAUAGCAGGAGGAAUGACCGCUUCUGGGUUGGGGCUGGGGAGAAUCUAAGAUGAGCUCGGAACAUCCUGUAGGGUCGGAGGUGAGGCAUCGCUGAAACCAAGACAAAACCAACCCACAACGAGGUCACAGGCCACAGGUCAUAGGUCACUGGUCGCAGGAGCCAACGCCAACGCUCCCGAUGGCCUGACUGGAGCAGCCCGAGCAGGAAGACAGUCUAGGAUGGCCUAAGCCCAAUCCCGGAAAUGGGCCCACGGAAGUCCCCGGGUUGCAGGUAAACAAUUGCAUAAAUAAGCAAGAGGAGGAGCCGAGACAGAAGAUCCCAAAUACACGUGGAGGUCCUUCCCUCCAGAGGGAGGCUCAGUGCCCCCAAGCUCGGCUGGACUUAGUGACCCCUAGACACAGGGUGGGAGGGAAACAGCGACUGACACUCCAAACCUGGAGACAGCGCCUGUCACGGGUGGGAAGGUCGACGUCCCCGAUGACGUCACGGUCCCUGACAUGAGGAGGGGCUGUCACGCCCCUGGUUUUUCCCCAAUCUUGGUCUAAUUGUGAAAAAUAAUUAAAUAAUCCCAAACUGAGGGCAUUCUGUGAAUAUCCGACAACUACUCUUCAGAGACGUCCAGCUCCUGCUGGGCACAGAGGCACACGCCUGUAACCCCUGUGACUCGGGAGGCUGAGGCAGGAGGAUCACAAAUUCGAGGCCAGUGUGGGCAACUUAGAAAGACCCUCUCUCAAAAUACGAAAUAACAAAGGGCUGGGGUGCAGCUCAGUGGUAAAGCACCACAAAAUAAUAAUGACGAUGAUGAUGGUGAAGGAGAGCCAUCAAGACUGAUGGACAAGGAAAGGUGGAGAAACCACGGCAGGCCGGAGGAGACUGAAGAGACGUGGACACUGUGGCACCCUGGACUGCAUCCCAGAACAGACAGAGACACCGUGAGGGAAACUGGAAAAACAGGAACAGAGGGUUCAGUUAAUAGUAAGGUACUCGGAGAUUCCACAGAAAACUUGGAAUGGAACCACCAUUUGACCCAGUUACCCCUCUCCUCAGCAUAUACCCCCGAAGGACUUAAAAUCAGCGUUUUUUAUAGUGAUGUGGCCACAUCAAUGUGGAUAGCAGCUCAAUUCACAAUAACUAAGCUAUGGAACCAACCUGGGUGUCCUUCAAGCGAUGAAUAGAUAAAGAACAUGUGGUACAUAUACACAAUGGAAUAUUACUCAGCCAUAAAGAAGAAUGAAUUAUGGCAUUUGCUAGUAAAUGGAUGGAUUAGAGACUAUCAUGCUAAGUGAAUUAAGCAAUUCUAAAAAACCAAAGGCCAAAGGUUCUCUGAUAUGUGGAUGCUGACUCACAAUGAGCAGGGGGAGGGAAGAAUAGAAGUUCACCGUAUUAGACAAAGGGGAAUGAAGGCUGGGGAGGGGGGAUGGAAACAGGAAAGACAGUAGAAUGAACUGGACAUCACUUUCCUAUGUUCACAUGUGAACACAGGACCAGCGUAACCCCACAUCAUGUACUACCACAAAAAUGG
rnacentral:lncRNA from 1 species